CAGUAGCCGCGGGAAUACGUAGGUGGCAAGCGUUAUCCGGAAUUAUUGGGCGUAAAGCGCGCGUAGGCGGUUUUUUAAGUCUGAUGUGAAAGCCCCCGGCUCAACCGGGGAGGGUCAUUGGAAACUGGGAAACUUGAGUGCAGAAGAGGAGAGUGGAAUUCCACGUGUAGCGGUGAAAUGCGUAGAGAUGUGGAGGAACACCAGUGGCGAAGGCGACUCUCUGGUCUGUAACUGACGCUGAGGAGCGAAAGCGUGGGGAGCGAACAGGAUUAGAUACCCCCGUAGUCCCUGUCUCUUAUAC
rnacentral:rRNA from 1 species